rnacentral:rRNA from 1 species
CAGUCGCCGCGGGAAUACGAAGGGUGCAAGCGUUACUCGGAAUUACUGGGCGUAAAGCGUGCGUAGGUGGUUUGUUAAGUCUGCUGUGAAAUCCCCGGGCUCAACCUGGGGAUGGCAGUGGAUACUGGCAAGCUAGAGUGUGUCAGAGGAUGGUGGAAUUCCCGGUGUAGCGGUGAAAUGCGUAGAGAUCGGGAGGAACAUCAGUGGCGAAGGCGGCCAUCUGGGACAACACUGACGCUGAGGCACGAAAGCGUGGGGAGCAAACAGGAUUAGAUACCCCGGUAGUCCCUGUCUCUUAUAC